rnacentral:rRNA from 1 species
CCUACGGGAGGCUGCAGUGGGGAAUAUUGCACAAUGGAGGAAACUCUGAUGCAGCAACGCCGCGUGGAGGAUGACGCAUUUCGGUGUGUAAACUCCUUUUAUAAGGGAAGAUAAUGACGGUACCUUAUGAAUAAGCACCGGCUAACUCCGUGCCAGCAGCCGCGGUAAUACGGAGGGUGCAAGCGUUACUCGGAAUCACUGGGCGUAAAGGAUGCGUAGGCUGUAAUAUAAGUCAGGAGUGAAAUCCAACGGCUCAACCGUUGAACUGCUCUUGAAACUGUUUUACUAGAAUAUGGGAGAGGUAGAUGGAAUUGGUGGUGUAGGGGUAAAAUCCGUAGAUAUCACCAGGAAUACCGAUUGCGAAGGCGAUCUACUGGAACAUUAUUGACGCUGAGGCAUGAAAGCGUGGGGAGCAAACAGGCUUAGAUACCCCGGUAGUC